CCAUAGCAACUUUUGUGUUGCACUUUGAGCCUCCAUUUGCACUCUAUAAUCUAUUUAUGCGCUCAUUAUUGACCAAUGAAACACUUUAAAUUUUGUUGAAUAUAUUAUAAGUAGCAUUAUUGGUGCCCCUGC